rnacentral:lncRNA from 1 species
CAAGGAAAUAUGGGGGAGACACCCCUGGAGCACUCUGGGGGAUGCAGUUCCUCAGACCACAACCCAAGAAAAGCCACACUAUCUGUAGCUCAUUAUGCAUGUAGACUGAGAGGUGGAGAAGGUGACAGACGGACAGGAGGACUGACAGACAGAGUGCUUCCUUUAUCUGUUAUUCUGUUUUACUGCCUUCUUUUUAAUGUAUGUGUCAAUCUGUCGAUCGGUCUGCCCAUCAGUCCUCUCUGGGUAUCUAUCUCUAUAUACGUUUCCACCCAAACAUAUCGGAAUAAGUGGUUGCUGGCAAGCAAAGCAUAUGAUGGUGUCCCUGUGGUUUUCAGAUGGCUCAGCAGAUGUAUUUGGUUCAAGAUUGGAGGGGGAGUGGCAGACGUACACUUUGGCCAGUGAGGGAUCUUAACCUGUUGUCCUGACUUUUCUCAAAAAGGAGCAUUUACUAAACAAGAAUGGCAUUUCCUCGGGCAGGCUAUGAAACAAAGUGAGGCAAAAGGACACAGAAUGUUACUGCCUUUGGGAUCCCAUGCAAUCUAGUGAAGAUAUUGCACAAACUAUGGAGAGUUGAGCUGUUCCUCAGCUGCAGACCCCACCUUUCAUUGCUUGUACUCACUCUUCUUGCCCCUUUGAAUGAGAUGGCCAAAGAGAAACAACCCUUCCUUAAUGCUGCAGAUGCCAAGAACCAGCCCCAUGUCCUGGGGCAAACCUCCUCCCCAAACCCCUUGUUUCUGGGUCCUGUCCUCACUGCUGUCAAAUGAUAGCUAAACCGCAGCAUGGAGGCAUGAUGUCUGGCUGUCCUCCCAAGGAGCAGCUUUUGCAUCCAUGCUCUUCCACCUCGGCUGCCUCUUGACCACAUUCAACAUGACUUUCCAAAUCAAUAAAAUGUCUCUUUUAUUUUGAAGCUAAGUUUCA